rnacentral:rRNA from 1 species
GACGAACGCUGGCGGCGUGCUUAACACAUGCGAGUCGAACGGAAAGGCCUUUUCGGAGGUACUCGAGUGGCGCACGGGUGAGUAACACGUGGGUGAUCUGCCCUGCACUCUGGGAUAAGCCUGGGAAACUGGGUCUAAUACCGGAUAGGACCGCACUUUAGUGUGUGUGGUGGAAAGUUUUUUCGGUGUAGGAUGAGCCCGCGGCCUAUCAGCUUGUUGGUGGGGUAAUGGCCUACCAAGGCGGCGACGGGUAGCCGGACUGAGAGGUUGGUCGGCCACAUUGGGACUGAGAUACGGCCCAGACGCCUACGGGAGGCAGCAGUGGGGAAUAUUGCACAAUGGGCGCAAGCCUGAUGCAGCGACGCCGCGUGGGGGAUGACGGCCUUCGGGUUGUAAACUCCUUUCGCCAGGGACGAAGCGUUUUGUGACGGUACCUGGAGAAGAAGCACCGGCUAACUACGUG